AACGAACGCUGGCGGCAGGCCUCAAACAUGCAAGUCUAGGGGAUGUAGCAAUACAUCACCGGCGGACGGGUGCGUAACGCGUGGGAAUAUACCUAUUGGUUCGGAACAACUGAGGGAAACUUCAGCUAAUACCGGAUGAGCCCUAACGGGGAAAGAUUUCUCGCCAAUAGAUUAGCCCGCGUCCGAUUAGCUAGUUGGUGGGGUAAAAGCCUACCAAGGCGACGAUCGGUAGCUGUUCNGAGAGGAAGAUCAGCCAC
rnacentral:rRNA from 1 species